rnacentral:rRNA from 1 species
GAUGAACGCUAGCGAUAGGCUUAACACAUGCAAGUCGAGGGGCAGCAUGGUCUUAGCUUGCUAAGACUGAUGGCGACCGGCGCACGGGUGCGUAACGCGUAUGCAACUUGCCUCACAGAGGGGGAUAACCCGUCGAAAGACGGACUAAUACCGCGUACACUUGGGAUAGGGCAUCCUGACCCAAGGAAAUGAAAUUCGCUGUGAGAUAGGCAUGCGUCCCAUUAGCUAGUUGGUGAGGUAACGGCUCACCAAGGCGACGAUGGGUAGGGGAACUGAGAGGUUGAACCCCCACACUGGUACUGAGACACGGACCAGACUCCUACGGGAGGCAGCAGUGAGGAAUAUUGAUCAAUGGGCGAGAGCCUGAACCAGCCAAGUCGCGUGAAGGAUGACUGUCUUAUGGAUUGUAAACUUCUUUUAUACGGGAAUAACAAGAGCCACGUGUGGCUCCCUGCAUGUACCGUAUGAAUAAGCAUCGGCUAACUCCGUG